rnacentral:lncRNA from 1 species
UUUCAAUUUUAGUGUUGCUAUGAUAGCUGUCACAUGUUUGGUUCUUUUCAUUUUUUAUUUACUGUAUUUGAUUGACAAACCCGGAUUUAUAUACUUGUCCGUUUCCGGAUUUGACCUGGUUUUAGUUUAUUCCCACACUUCCUGUUUAUUUAUUUAUGGCAGCCAUUGUUUGUCAAUGUUGUUUUCAUUCAAUAUGUUUCAACUUGGAUUUACACAUUACUUGUUGGCGAUUUUUUUACAUAAAGCUAG